UUUGCCGUCUCCCACCAACACUUAGUCAAAAUAGCAGUUUCCUCAACUAUCUUUCUUCGAGCAGCUCUCUUCUCAAAACACCAUCGAUCUGAUCUCAUCAAAACACCAUCGAUCUGAUCUCAUCAAAACACCAUACAUGGGUCUCUCAGCAAAACACCAUAUGCCAUCAAAAUACAUUUCGAUUAAAGCUCGACUGUACUUAUCCACCACUAUACUCAUUGAUUAGGGUUUCGAUCCAUCUGUGGGUUCUUCGUACUGGGGAGAAGAUAGAGGAAAUUAGAGUUUAAAUCUAGACAUUGAAAUUCCGGAGUUGAAACUAGGGUCCAUUUGUGGGUUCUUCGAUUUGGGGGUUUCUCAGCUAUUCUUGCUGGUUUGCCUUAUUUGCAGAGAAUCUGCAGCAGACCAUCUUCUCCAACCAUUCCAAGGCCUUCUCAUCACUACUUUCAACAAUUGGGAAUUUCGGUCUUGAAGAACUUACUUGCAGAGGAACCAGUUUCAUGUCCAUUGACUCCACUUUUGAUUACAGAAAUUGAGAAGAAAAUUGGGUUUUGUAGGGGAUGUGGGCAGCGUCUACUUUAGGCCCAACCAUCCUAUGAAGCCACAUCGGCUAUAUUGUUGAGGUUUGGAUUUGGUAUUUGGAUAGCCUUGUUGAUUAUUCUCAGCGGACCCACAAGGCAUAUCUGGUGGAGUUGGAAGAAGCUGUAGACUCAGUUUGACUGGUGGAGUGAGCUUGACAGCUAUUGUUGGUAUUGAUUGCAGGAGCUAGACUUAAAAGGGUUGCUACUGGAAAUGGCUGCAUUUCCACUGGGAAAGAAGCAAAUGUUUAUCAUGCAACCAAUUCUGAUGGUCAGGAACGGGCAAUCAAAGUGUUCAAAACAUCUGUUCUGGACUUUAAGUA